AGCAUAUCAAUAAGCGGAGGAAAAGAAACUAACAAGGAUUCCCCUAGUAACUGCGAGUGAAGCGGGAAAAGCUCAAAUUUAAAAUCUGUCAGCUUUGGCUGUCCGAGUUGUAAUCUAGAGAAGCGUUAUCCGCGCUGGACCGUGUACAAGUCUCCUGGAAUGGAGCGUCAUAGAGGGUGAGAAUCCCGUCUUUGACACGGACUGCCAGGGCUUUGUGAUGCGCUCUCAAAGAGUCGAGUUGUUUGGGAAUGCAGCUCAAAAUGGGUGGUAAAUUCCAUCUAAAGCUAAAUAUUGGCGAGAGACCGAUAGCGAACAAGUACCGUGAGGGAAAGAUGAAAAGAACUUUGGAAAGAGAGUUAAACAGUACGUGAAAUUGCUGAAAGGGAAACGCUUGAAGUCAGUCGCGUUGUCCAGGGAUCAACCUUGCUUUUGCUUGGUGUACUUUCUGGUUGACGGGUCAGCAUCAAUUUUGACUAUUGGAAAAAGGUCAGGGGAAUGUGGCAUCUUCGGAUGUGUUAUAGCCCUUGGUUGCAUACAAUGGUUGGGAUUGAGGAACUCAGCACGCCGCAAGGCCGGGUUUUUUUUAACCACGUACGUGCUUAGGAUGCUGGCAUAAUGGCUUUAAUCGACCCGUCUUGAAACACGGACCAAGGAGUCUAACAUGCCUGCGAGUGUUUGGGUGGAAAACCCGAGCGCGUAAUGAAAGUGAAAGUUGAGAUCCCUGUCGUGGGGAGCAUCGACGCCCGGACCAGACCUUUUGUGACGGUUCCGCGGUAGAGCAUGUAUGUUGGGACCCGAAAGAUGGUGAACUAUGCCUGAAUAGGGUGAAGCCAGAGGAAACUCUGGUGGAGGCUCGUAGCGAUUCUGACGUGCAAAUCGAUCGUCAAAUUUGGGUAUAGGGGCGAAAGACUAAUCGAACCAUCUAGUAGCUG
rnacentral:rRNA from 1 species